rnacentral:rRNA from 1 species
AUUGAACGCUGGCGGCGUGCUUAACACAUGCAAGUCGAUCGGUAACGCGGGGGCAACCCUGGCGACGAGAGGCGGACGGGUGAGGAACGCUUGGGAAUCUGCCCUUCAGCGGGGGACGACACGGGGAAACUCGUGCUAAUACCGCAUACGCUCCACGGAGGAAAGCCGGGGACCGCAAGGCCUGGCACUGAAGGAUGAGCCCAAGUCGGAUUAGCUAGUUGGCGGGGUAACGGCCCAACAAGGGGACGAUCCGUAGCUGGUCUGAGAGGACGAUCAGCCACACGGGGACUGAGACACGGCCCAGACUCCUACGGGAGGCAGCAGUGGGGAAUAUUGGACAAUGGGGGAAACCCUGAUCCAGCGACGCCGCGUGGGUGAAGAAGGCCUGCGGGUUGUAAAGCCCUUUCGGUAGGGACGAAAGCUCUCGACCUAACACGUCGGGAGGUUGACUUAACCUACAAAAGAAGCACCGGCUAACUCUGUGCCAGCAGCCGCCGUAACAC